UACAGAGGUGGCAAGCGUUGUUCGGAAUUACUGGGCGUAAAGGGCGCGUAGGCGGUUCGACAAGUCCCGCGUGAAAGCCCCCGGCUCAACUGGGGAACGGCGCGGGAAACUGUCGGGCUUGAGUUCGGGAGAGGGAAGCGGAAUUCCAGGUGUAGCGGUGAAAUGCGUAGAUAUCUGGAGGAACACCGGUGGCGAAGGCGGCAUCCUGGACCGGUAUUGACGCUGAGGCGCGAAAGCCAGGGGAGCAAACGGG
rnacentral:rRNA from 1 species